AUGAAGCAAAGGCACAUGAUGUAAAUAGGUACAGGCUGCAAAUUGCCACCACACUUCUAUUAGAGACUGAUGAUUUAUCUGACUUGUGCUUUGUUUGUGGGGAAGCUACACAUGACACAGACAACAGAUGGGUAAUUAUGUCAGGUCUUGUUAACUAAUGCAUGUGAUGAUUAAGAAAUAUAUUGAAUUACACAUUCGUUGUAAAUUAUUGUAAAUGUGCUGCAUUGUAUGAUCUUGCUUUUUUCUUUGUUUACCAGAUUCAGUGUGACGAGUGUUGCAGGUGGUUCCAUCUUGUAUGUGUCGGGGAGCCUCCAACCGAAGGCUCUUUUUUGUGUACAUGUACAGAAAUUAAAUGCUAAAUAUUUGAAGCUUG